rnacentral:rRNA from 1 species
GACGAACGCUGGCGGCGUGCUUAACACAUGCAAGUCGAACGGAAAGGCCCUGCUUUUGUGGGGUGCUCGAGUGGCGAACGGGUGAGUAACACGUGAGUAACCUGCCCUUCACUUUGGGAUAACUUCAGGAAACUGGGGCUAAUACCGGAUAGGAGCUCCUGCUGCAUGGUGGGGGGUGGAAAGUUUCGGCGGUUGGGGAUGGACUCGCGGCUUAUCAGCUUGUUGGUGGGGUAGUGGCUUACCAAGGCUUUGACGGGUAGCCGGCCUGUGAGGGUGACCGGCCACCUUGGGCCUGCGGUACGGCCCAGACUCCUACGGGAGGCAGCAGUCGGGAAUAUUGCACAGUGGGCGGAAGCCUAAUGCGGAGACGCCGCGUGCGGGAUGACGGCCUUCGGGUUGUAAACCGCUUUAGCCUGUGACGAAGCGUGAGUGACGGUAAUGGGUAAAGAAGCACCGGCUAACUCCGUG